AAGACUGGCAAGUAGCAAAUAUUUGACAAAUGAAUAACAAAAUAUAAAGGUAACCAAUGUUUUUGAAACUUAGAGAAUGAAGAUCAGAAGGAAUAGUGGGAGACAUAUGGAAGAAGAACAAAGGCAAUGAGAAGCCACUCCAUGACUUGAAGAAGACAUAUGACAUUAACUGAGUUAGAGUGACUGUGCUCCUUGUGAGUAGAAAGUGAACAAGCACCAGUAACAGAACUUGGAUAACUUGGUGCCCUGGGAAAUAUAGUUGAAUAAAUGACCACAAGGCUAUGAAUUUUUAAGUUGUCUUGCCUAUGGAGAAGAAGACUUAUACCUUUUGAUAUGGAAGAAAGGAACUAGCUUCAAGAAUAUAGAGCUGAUAAUGACUUUGAUGUUACAAGACUUACAGUCAAGCUGAAAUACUGGUGUCAGGAACGG
rnacentral:lncRNA from 12 species